rnacentral:tRNA from 1 species
UCCGUAGUAGCACACCUGGUUAAAUUCAACCGAUGAAUUCCGGGUUCAACUCCCGGCUGCGGAA